AUCUACAGGCUUGCUAGCUGAUCACAAACCUUACCAUCUGUCUCACUCAUGGUUCAGUCCUCUUGGGUCUUCAAGACAACCCAGGUGUGAUUCAUAGAGACAGGUUCAGGUUCCACUCAUUCAAGAGUUUGAAGCAAUUGUGAUAUUUGAGGUGAUUUGUAUGAUAUGUCGGCCACAUGAGUCAUCAAUGGAUAAUUGCUCAACGAACACGCGGUCUUGGAUGUAGUAGACGGUGGCAGCACUUGGUGAGCUUUAGUCCACCUACAUCCUAAAAGUAAGCAUAUAUGAUUACAUAUUAGCACCAGCCUUGCACCGUAUAUGAUUACAUAUUAGCACCAGCCUUAGCACCGUAUAUUGUCAUCAACUGUCCCACAAUUAUAAUUGGCAAUCUCAGGGGACCUCUUAUUAAUGUCUACCUCUGGGACCAGGCUGCUAAGGAGUUCUAUAGCAAGUUCAAACCUAAGUCUUCGCCGCUCCGUCAGUAACCACGGUGAACGCUAAAACAUUAUUGGAGGUAAGAAGUUUCCAUGUUUAAUUUGUCAAGAACAUAUGAUUUUAUCAUGUACGACUUUAUUGCAAUUUUUAGUUGGCCAAAUGCUUGAAUUUAAGAUCCAUCUAUGUCUUAAACGUCUCCACAUUUUGGUCAAAAACAACAUUUUUAUCAUGCACGAGCUUUUACCACCUUUACACAGCAAACCAAGUUCCCAUUUUUGUGAUUCUGGCCCGUUGCAAUCAUUUUUUAAUUAACUUUUCCUCAGCUCAAUAUCCUCAAGGUUAUUCUUCGACAAUUAAGUCGCUCCUACCAGACUACUGAACAUGGUGGUCUCUUUUGAUUUUAUCGCAACAGUAGAUGCCUCGACGAGAAGGAGUGGUAUUACAUCUCCUGCAGCACCAUACUAAAGCUAACAGAGGGCCAACUGCAUUUACGUUUCCAAAAAGUGCGGAGACGUCAACGUCACUGGAGUUGCAAUGUACCGUGUCCGUGCUGAGAUCUCCUUCUACGACAAUGGCGAGAAGGCAACUUUUUUGCUCCUUGGUAAUGCUGGUCCUGAGCUAAUUGGGUGGCAGGCGUCAGAGCUUUUUGACAACAACUAUGAGUAC